CUGUGCAAAGGUAGCAUAAUCAUUAGCUUUUUAAUUGAAGGCUUGUAUGAAGGGUCUGACAAAGAAAAAGCUGUCUUUAAUUUUAUUUUUGAAAUUAACUUUUAAGUGAAAAGGCUUAAGUGUGUUUAAGGGACGAUAAGACCCUAUAAAUCUUUAUAUUAGAUUUUUAUGUUGGAGAUUAAUAAUUUGUCUAGAUUACCAAGUAAAUAAUAGAUAUUUUGUUGGGGUGACAAGAAUAUAAAAUUAACUGUUCUAAUAUAAAACAAAGUUGUUUGUUUAAAAUAAAUAAAGAUCCUUUAUUAAAGAUUAAAAGUUUAAGUUACUUUAGGGAUAACAGCGUUAUUUUUUUUGAGAGUUCCUAUCGAAAAAAAAGUUUGCGACCUCGAUGUUGAAUUAAAAUUUCUCUACGGUGUAGAAGUUGUGGGAGAAAGUCUGUUCGACUUUUGAAAUUUU
rnacentral:rRNA from 1 species